UACGUAGGGGGCUAGCGUUGUCCGGAAUCAUUGGGCGUAAAGCGCGUGUAGGCGGCCCGGUAAGUCCGCUGUGAAAGUCGGGGGGCUCAACCCUCGGAUGCCGGUGGAGUACUGUCGGGCUCGAGUACGGAAGAGGCGAGUGGAAUUCCUGGUGUAGCGGUGAAAUGCGCAGAUAUCAGGAGGAACACCAAUUGCGAAGGGCAGCUCGC
rnacentral:rRNA from 1 species